ACAACCGUACUGAGUGCAAAACAAACCUCACGUCUCCAAUCUUACCAAUUUAACUUUAAUUAUUGAAGGAUUGCGAUAUCUCCGAUAAUACAGCAUACAUUACUCUUUGGCUAGUUUAUUACAUUUAGCAGUUGUUAACAUAUACCGUAAUGCAUUAGCAAUUGUAACAUCAUAAUGAGCCGGUAACAAACGUUGAGAUUUCAGUGCUUUGGAAAUCGGAUAUGUGCAUGAAUUAAUUUAGUUUGGUUAAUAAAUUGAGUUAAACUUUUCUUUUUGACAAUUGUAUCUAGUAUUUCGUAAGUGAAUUAAUAGAAUAAAAUACAACAGUCGACAUUCCUAGUAUUACUUGUGCAAUAAAAAAUCAUGUUUGAGGAUUGAAAUAUCGUUAUAUUAGUAAAAACUUUAAAGUGUUUAUUAAUAUAAAUUUACAUAAGAUACCUAUGGCUAGUGGCAAAAUUACAGCACUUCUUUAGUAUGGUUGUUUUACUGUUAGAAGCUUAAUAUAAAUAGUGUAUUAAUCGCAAAAAUAUAUAAAAUAAUACUUGGUCAAGGUAUUCGAUCUUCCAAUCGCACGACUAAUCUAAAGUAAUAUAGACGAGUGUAUAAAUGAGCGGGCAUUGCAUUCGGUGCACUCAAAGAAACAAGUUUCAGUACUUUGGUUGCAUUUCUGUACUUUUGAUUUUGAAAUAAAAUGCCUUGCGGAGGUUGCGGUGACAGCUGCAAAUGCACCACUGCCCAGUGCUGCCAAUCAUGCAAAUGUGAUUCAUCAUGCUCUUGCGCAUGCAAGCGAUCCAAGGACGCAGACGCGUCAGCUAAGAAGUAGCAAGUUCAAAUCCAAUUUUGUGCUUUGUAUCCAAAAAUAAAAAUGUGUUUUAGUUUUAAGAAAUAAUUGUUUCCUAUUCAAUAUUUUUUCCUACUCCAGGUGGUUUUUCGAAUAUAGUCGAAACUUGAAUGUAUGUACUUUUCAUACGUUGGGUAAUAAAUAUGUAUUAAAAUA